AGAAUCAACGCUGGCGGCGUGCCUCAGACAUGCAAGUCGAACGCGAAAGUCCCCUUCGGGGGACAAGUAGAGUGGCGCACGGGUGAGUAACACGUAGGUAAUCUACCUUCGGAUGGGGAAUAACAAUCGGAAACGGUUGCUAAUACCGCAUAAUGCAGCGGCACCUAAUGGUGACAGUUGUUAAAAGCGGGGGAUCGAAAGACCUCGCGUCUGAAGAGGAGCCUGCGGCGGAUUAGCUAGUUGGUAAGGUAAUGGCUUACCAAGGCUACGAUCC
rnacentral:rRNA from 1 species